GAUGAACGCUGGCGGCGUGCCUAAUACAUGCCAGUCGAGCGAACAGACGAGGAGCUUGCUCCUCUGACGUUAGCGGCGGACGGGUGAGUAACACGUGGAUAACCUACCUAUAAGACUGGGAUAACUUUGGGAAACCGGAGCUAAUACCGGAUAAUAUAUUGAACCGCAUGGUUCAAUAGUGAAAGACGGUUUUGCUGUCACUUAUAGAUGGAUCCGCGCCGCAUUAGCUAGUUGGUAAGGUAACGGCUUACCAAGGCGACGAGGCGUAGCCGACCUGAGAGGGUGAUCGGCCACACUGGAACUGAGACACGGUCCAGACUCCUACGGGAGGCAGCAGUAGGGAAUCUUCCGCAAUGGGCGAAAGCCUGACGGAGCAACGCCGCGUGAGUGAUGAAGGUCUUCGGAUCGUAAAACUCUGUUAUUAGGGAAGAACAAAUGUGUAAGUAACUAUGCACGUCUUGACGGUACCUAAUCAGAAAGCCACGGCUAACUACGUG
rnacentral:rRNA from 1 species